rnacentral:rRNA from 1 species
AGCUCCAAUAGCGUAUAUUAAAGUUGUUGCGGUUAAAACGCUCGUAGUCGGGUUUCUGUCAGGGCCAACUGGUCUGGCCUGAGUGUCAUGUCACUGGUUUGGCCUCUGUCAUCUUCUUGGGGAACGGGUGCGCACUUCACUGUGUGGCCUGGGAACCUGGACGUUUACUUUGAGGAAAUGAGAGUGCUUCAAGCGGGUGUUUGCCACGAAUAUGUUAGCAUGGAAUAAUGGUGUUGGACCUCGGAUCACAGCUGUUGGUUGCUGGAACUGGGGAGAGGGUAAACAGAGACAGUUGGGGGCAUUCGUAUUUAACUGUCAGAGGUGAAAUUCUUGGAUUUGUUAAAGACGAACUACUGCGAAAGCAUUUGUCAAGGAUGUUUUCAUUGAUCAAG